CAAAGAUUUUACAAAGUGAAAGAUGCCAAGUGUUGUGGUUAGUAUGCUACAUUUCCUUAACACCUUCUUGUUUAGGUCACAACUGCAAGAUUCUGUUAUCAAAUCAGUCUGUUGGGUUUUGUCUUAUCGUGGUUGCCAUGGUUAUCACAGUAUUAUGGUUGAAAGUUACUUAAACAAUCAGGAAAUCAAGGACUAAAGAUUCAGAGUCUUCAAAAAUACAUCCUCAUAUCCCUUUAUCCUGGCUGGCUUGUGACUACAUAGCAGCACAGCUGUCAUACACAGGGCUUAUUUGUAGGGAACAACAGAAAGCUAAAAGCAUUCUACUUAUGCUUUACUUUUCACUGCUCAGAACAGGCAUGCAUGAGUUUAUAUUACAAAUUUUGGAUAGUGUUAUCAAAAAGGCAGCACUGUUUCAAUAACACCGAAACUUCCUGAGAUGAAAGGUGACAAGCUGCAGUUCACAAGAAUCACUAUGUCAGCCUUCAACACAAGAUGUACAAGAACAGUAAAACCUGCUGGGCACUACCCACAGUGUUCUCCCAGUGUCAUGAAAGUUAAAGCUACUUCAAAAAAACCUUCCAGUCAUAACUACUCAUCUUCUGAUUGGAAACUACACUGACUUCAAUUACAGUCUUAAAAAUGAAUAACAUUUCUGCCUAUUUUCAACUGAAAUCUUCACUAUGCCACUUUAAACAUCUUCAAGUACUGACUGAACUGACCAUGAGGAAAACUGAGUCUCAGGAAACAGCACUUCAGUUUCAAAGAAGACCUCAGUGAGGAAGCGUCUUGAGGCAGCCAGAUGUGUUCCCAUGGGCUCUCAGGCCUCCUGUAAGAACACAGCACGCAGAAGCAGGAUUCUGAGCAGCCACAAACCUGUGAUGAAGUCCCACUCAGGGCCCUUAGCAACAAUGAGAACACAAGCGAGCAGGGAAGAAAGUCUUUCAAUUUGAAAAUUUAAAAAAAAAAUCAAUUAUUUCUGCAAAGGGUGAGAAAAGUAAUUAACCAAAACUUCACUGCAGUGUUUGGUGUUUACGCUGUAACUCUCAGGAGGUUUUGGCCAGCUUUUUACAUUACAGAAUUUUCUAAGCAAACAUGUUGCUUACUUAAAGGGAAAGAUUUUAUUGCCUGAAAAAUACAAUACACAUCUGCAAUUUUCUACACCCACAGCUAUAAUUAAUCUCCUCUGAUUACAGCCACUCCCUGACAAGAUUCCAUGUUAUAUUUAAACACUGGAUGCCACUCUGCAAGUAAAAAAAAAAAAAAAACACAACAGAACAAUAGGAUCAUUUUCAAAGACUCCAUAGCAGCGUAGGAUUUAGAAUCAGCCAUGUCCUUUAAAUUGCACUAUCAACUGCCCAUCCCAGCCAGAGCUAAGAGUGACCUCUAAUUGCCACGAUAAUGGGCUCAGAAGUCUCUUGAGAAAUAUAAAGCAUAGAUGUUUUCUGUUCUACAGAAGAGGUAUGAGAUUGAUGUUGUAUUAUACAGAAAUACUUCAAACUCAAUGACAUAUGGUUGGGGAAAGCACUUCUGUGACACUCAGACUGUAAGGAUCAGCCCCCAUAAAUAAAGUCCUGGGUUGUAUAAGGCACCUUAAGAAUGUAACCUUUGUACAUCUUGCCAGAGGUUUGAAACAACACACACACACAUGUGUUUAUAUGCAUACAGAUAUUUAGUCAGGAUUGGGAAGAUGUACAUGUCUGUAAUUGUUUGCUGAAAUCUAUUGAAGCCUGUCUUUCGUAAAUAUAAACAAACAUCAAACACUGCAAAUGUCAAAUAAACUCACACAAGAGAAGAAGAACCUCACAAACUUAAAUGAGAAGAUACUCCUUUUACUAUUUGUUACGGAGUUCGAUUUAAAAAAUAAAAGUAAGUUGUUUCUCUUUAGGAACAAGCUAAUAGAAGCCUCAGAGCAUUAGAUUUUUAAAUUCAGUUUUCCUAGAAGUUAUGUCAUCAGACCUGCAGGGAAACGCCCAUCCCAAGUGCAACAUGGCAAGUCAGAUUAAUCCCCUGUGUACAUCCAAUAAUUUCGGUGGAUUCUUACCAGGGAUGCAUUUAGCUAAACAUGUUGAGUUGGAUGAAAAAUUACAAAUUAAGAAUAUCUUAUCCACCCACAUCUGCCUCACCACGUCAUGAGGCAAGGGGAGGCAAGGAGUCAGCAGACUGCUUUUUUUCUUUUUAAUUAAUUUCAUUCUGUUUUAUAUUACAGACAUCCAACUAAGAUUCAAGCCCAUUGUCUUCGGCAUUGUUGAAAAACACAUAAUGAGGCACAGUCCUAGACACAAAAAUGUAUUGUCUAGACAAAUCAGACAUAGCAUGUGGGGAUGGAAAUAUUAAUCCAUUCCCUCAAAAAAAUGGCAAACAGAGGAAAAAGAAAUGGAGAGAUUUGGCCAAGGGUCAAAGAAUAACCCUCAGUCAGCCCCCUGAACUGAAUCCUGAGACUUAGUCCAGUGAUCUGGGCAGAAAGACACCAAUCAGAUACUGUCAUGCUGAACAUAUUAGAAAUCUUCCUACACACAACUACAGUCUAAAGUUUUAGACAUGAGAGGAAAAAGAAGCAUAUACAUAAAUAAAUCUAUUUCUGCCACUGUAAUUUUUAAAACCUUAAUAAGCAAAGGAGAGGUUAUAAAAAUCAUCCAAAAAUGACAAUGCAAAUAAAAAGCAAAAUUGGCAAUGAAGCCAUCCAGAUCCCUCUGUCCAGCACUUGCCCUCCGGACAGACCUGUGCCAUUAUGCAGCAUCAGCAGUGCUUCAGUUCAAUCGAUUCAGAAAAACAGACUCUUUCAAGCUCAGUAUUUCAAGUAAACUAAACUGCAAUAGGAAGUCAAAUAUCUAUUUCAAUUGAGAGGUUGUAUUUAAAAAAAUAUAUUGUCUCCUGUUACCUUCAUUGGGCAUUUAAAACUACUACAUAGUUAGACCUGGAAGCAUCAGCACACAUAGCCAGCACACAGCUUUCCUUGGGAACACUGAGCUUGAGCAAACUGACCAUUGUUCAAGGCUUCAAACACUUGGUGAGGUUAGUCAAAGGAUUAAGCAAAGUAACCAAGCAAAAGGAAGUCAGGUUUCAGACAAGGUCCCUCACCAGAGUGUGGCUUUUGAUAGAGCAAAUUAAUUCCCUUACAGCAACAUUAAUUUCUCCAAACACAAUAAAUGGCAGCA